rnacentral:tmRNA from 1 species
GGGGGCGCCUGGUUUCGACAGGGUAGGGAGAAUGGAUAGUGCAGAUCGUGCAAGCUGGAAUUACCACGUAAAUCUUUUUCCGGAACACUUAACUGCCAACGACGCAGAUUACGAUUUAGCUCUAGCAGCCUAAUCCCUGGUUGCUCUUCGCCAGGUGUUCAAGAAGAGUAUAACAAAAGACCGCGCUUUUGUCAAUAUGAGCGGAAUAAAUCAAAUUGAAUAUUUUGUCUGUUUCGAAAAACUGACUAAGUCUGUGAAUGACUUGAAAUUAUAACUGCUUUGGACGUGGGUUCGAUUCCCACCGCCUCCACCA